AGCGCCCCGAAGCGCGGGGGGCGGGCACGGUGCCCUCGGCUUCUCACCGCUCCUCGUGGGUCGGGGGCCGAGCUCCCCCCGCAGCCCCUGUGCGGGUGGGGCCGGGGCGCUCCUCCUCCGCAGCGGAGAGGGAAAGGGAAAGCGAAAGGGAAAGAGCUGGCGAUGUCCCCGCGGCGGGGCCGGGGCAGGCGGCACACGCAGCCCGCAGCGGGGGGCAGCGCAGGGCGCGGGGCCGUACCUGGGAGAUGCACAGGGUGAGGUCCCACCAGGACAGCCCUCAUCAAAGGAAUGCGGUGGUUGAUUUUGGGGUCCCGUGACAUCUUCACAUCCACAGCGACCGAAGGACCGGCAGGGACAGUGGCCUCGGAGGUGGCUGGUGACUGCAGACCGCUGGAUUGCUCCAUGCCUGGCUGAGAUGUGCGAGGGCGCUGGGGAUGCUGGUGACUGCUGGUCUCCUCCUGAACCUGGAUCGCUGUGGCCAAGGCAGGCCAGGUUGGAUGGGGCCUUGGGCAACCUGAGCUGGAUUUCAGCCUCUAGAUUUCAGCCCCCAAACUCUGCUGAGCACAAGCCUUCAGCAAGGACUUCCUGCACCCAACACUGAACCAAACCCGGGCUAGACUAACUCAUCCCUGUCCAACCCCUCUGUGCAGAAGGACUUUUGCCUUCGUGGAACCACCUGGUGCAUUAGAAAUUGGUUUUGGAAUGCACUAGCAGUGACCGUCCUGCUGCUGGGCUGAGCAGCGGGGGGCUCUGCAUCGCGGGAUGGAGCCUGAGCUGCAGCCUUGGCACCCGGCUGAGUUUCCCUGCUGUCAGCCAGGGGAUGGGGACAUCAGGAGCAGGGCACAUCCAGGAACAGGAGCAGGUGCUGCCUCACUUACCCUGGGGCUUUAGAGCCCAGGCUCACCUCCAGCAAGGCGCUGGGUCCUCAGUUAGCUGCCCAACUCCUCAUAAGGUCAGAUUUCUCAUCUCAUAAAACAGGUGUGCUGCAGAACAGAGAAUAUUUAGAAGGGAUUUGGUAAGUAACAUCUGCUGCUGCACUGAAAAUUCAGUUCAAAGUGUUAAAUAGCUUUUAAAAAAAAGAAGUUUUGGUAAAAAUAAAAGGUCUUUGAAGAGGUC